rnacentral:lncRNA from 1 species
GCAAGCGCGAUCUGCCGGUGCCUUGGCGGUCUGGCGUGCAGACAGACGUUCUCGGGGACGUCUAGAUGGAGAAAGUGCCCGGCGCCGUUGCUCCUUGUGCGUGUGAACGGAGACGACCUCAGCCCGUGACGGUCUCAGUUUGCGGAGCGCUUCACUCGCGUGAAAGAAACCACGUACAGAGGGCAUUGCCAGAAACAGAGGGUCCAUAGAGGUUCGGCUGAAGCCCUUGCUACCUGGCUGGAGACCCUCAGUUUUAAUCAUAGUGGAUGCAGCUGAAACCUUUUGUGCUUCUCUUUGGGGCACCAUUCUUCUCAAGACUAGUAGGCAUUAGGUGUGUCUGAAAGAAUCAAAGGUGCUUUAUCUAUGGUGACUGAACUCUACUUGUCCCUCCAAGAAGUUGAAAGCUGUCCAGACAUGGUGGUACAUGCCUGCAAUCUCAGGCCCAGGAGCAGAGUCAGAGGGAGGCCCAAACCACCACCCAGGAGCAGUGUCAGUGGAAGGCCUGAGUCACCACCCAGAAGCUAAAAGCCUAGGGGAAGUGUCACCAGGAGACCUGAGUCACUAUACAGGAGCAGUGUCAGAGGAGGGCCUGGGAGUGGGGAGUGACCACCAGAAGUGACAACAGCAACAGCUCCCAACAGUGACUUCCAGAAGCUAUCACAAGAAGUUCCUCUGGGAAACAGCACCUGUAUCCUAGCCAGCAUCCAUUGCCACUUCUGGGUUCCAGAUACCCUGCUGCUACAGUGACCACUGGAACCUCAGCCCUACCUACACCUAGAAGAGCAAUCACCGGAGCCGUGACCCGGCCUCCAACAGGAGGAGCAUCCACCAUAGAUAUAGUUCCACCUGCACCUCAAGAAGUGACCACCUGAGCCUUGGGCCCACUUACACCGGAGGCUCUGCCCCGCUUGCAC